UCGGGAAUUUUGGGCAAUGGGCGAAAGCCUGAUCCAGCCAUGCCGCGUGAGUGACGAAGGCCUUAGGGUUGUAAAACUCUUUCGUCGGGGACGAUAAUGACGGUACCCGAAGAAGAAGCUCCGGCUAACUUCGUGCCAGCAGCCGCGGUAAUACGAAGGGAGCUAGCGUUGUUCGGAAUCACUGGGCGUAAAGCGCACGUAGGCGGAUAGUUAAGUCAGGGGUGAAAUCCUGGGGCUCAACCCCAGAACUGCCUUUGAUACUGGCUGUCUCGAGGUCGAGAGAGGUUGGUGGAAUUCCUAGUGUAGAGGUGAAAUUCGUAGAUAUUAGGAAGAACACCAGUGGCGAAGGCGGCCAACUGGCUCGAUACUGACGCUGAGGUGCGAAAGCGUGGGGAGCAAACAGGAUUAGAUACCCUCGUAGUCCCUGAGCGGGCUGGCAAGGCGCAU
rnacentral:rRNA from 1 species